UACGAGGGGGGCGAGCGUUGUUCGGAAUUAUUGGGCGUAAAGGGUGCGUAGGCGGUUUGGUAAGUCUGAUGUGAAAUCUAUGGGCUCAACUCAUAGUCUGCAUCGGAAACUGCCGGGCUUGAGUAUGGGAGAGGUGAGUGGAAUUCCUGGUGUAGCGGUGAAAUGCGUAGAUAUCAGGAGGAACACCUGCGGUGUAGACGGCUUUCUGGACCAUUGCUGACGCUGAGACACGAAAGCGUGGGUAGCAAACAGG
rnacentral:rRNA from 1 species